CCUAAUUCUCAGAGCUUCGUAGUGUCGCCAGCGACAGUUCUCCAGCCAAUCAGAGCAUGUAAACAAAACUUCCCCUGACCCCUUCCUUUUCAUUUCUGGUUGUCGAGAAGUGUCGCGACACGCCCCUUUUGUAGUUGAAAUAUUCCAACUACACCUCGAAUUUCUGCGACAAUCACAAGUAAAUAUAACCUAACUGUCAGCCGCAAAAACAUUUGUUUUUGAUUUUAGAUAUUCUUUUCAGUAUUUUUUAAUCAUGGUAUAUUUUCUAUCUAAAUUCAGAAUGGAGUUUUUCUACAAGUAUACAGCUUUAUAUUCGUGGCAAAGGCGAAAUAAAAUAAGGAGAAGAAGGUGGAUUCAGUAGGCCACUGCGGCAGAUAGGUAUUUAACUUCCUAAUGAACCAUGGGAGUUCACUGCUAUAUACUCCAUGAAUAUUCAUUUGGCCAAUCCGUAAUAGAUAUAUGAAAAUGAAUACAAAAAGUGCCUAUUUCAUUGAAAUUCCCAAAAUAAAUCAAAAAGUAGCUGAACGUUACUCCCACAAAAUAAACAAGAUUGGAGGUUUUGAUCCAUACACCAUUUAAGCAAGAGAUAUAUGAGGUUACAGUCCUGAUGGAAUAUGAUGAUAUUGUGGUUUUUCUAGUUUCCACAACCAGUUUAAACAAAUCAGCAAAUGAAAGCAUUCAAGCGCUUAUCAGCCUACAAAUGCUCGCAUUAUAUCUGGGUUUUGCUGUUUGAAACAAAAUAUUAUGUGAGAAGUUUUCACAAAAAGGUCAGUACAGAUGAAUUGGUGUACAUGUAAAGAAAGGAAUAAUGACCAUUUUAUGAUAAAAUGCUAUGAGGAUUGUGAAAUAUAUUGGAUCCGAUCCAUGCAGAAAGUGUUGUGCUGACCAUUGUUCCUGACCAUUCGUUCAGCAGCGUUUGUACAAGCAAUUUACACAUGGAUCGAAUAUUUUUUUAAAAUGUAUAUACAUAAUAUGAUGUAAUGUGGUUGUAUUAAAUAAUCUC